rnacentral:rRNA from 1 species
UCUAGGUGCAUAUUGAUUAUGACAAUAUGUUUAUAAGUCUUGACUAAUUACGUGCCAGCAGUCGCGGCAAUACGUAUGAGACGAGUGUUAUUCAUCUUUAAUAGGUUUAAAGGGUACUUAGACGGUUUAAUUAGCUAAAGCGGUACAAUUAAUCUAGAGUUUUAUAUAAGAAGGUAGUACUCUGGAGUGUAGUGAUAAAAUACUUUGAUACCCGGGGGACUGGCAACGGCGAAGGCAACCUUUAUCUUAAAACUGACGUCCAAGGACGAAGGCUUAGAGCACUAGAGGGAUUUGGUACCCCAGUAGUCUUUGCAGAAAAUUAUGAAUGUCAUAGAUUAGUAAUAGUAAUAGAUAUCUAGGKAGUGUAGUGGGUGGAUAUUUAAUCUUACACUCCACUCCACUUUAAGUACAGGUUGAUAACAGUAUAAUAGUAUGGUUGGGCGCAUCUUCUUCGGCGGCCCGUAAGGUUAACUGUAUUAAUUAUGCAUAGUACAUAUGUACUAUGUAUGGUUGCUACCUUGAUAGUUUAGUCUAUUAAUGAAAGUGUAUUUCACCUGGGCGAAUGCGGGACAAUGGGCAUGGAAUCAAUAGAUUGCAGAGGAUGCCCAUGUUAUUAAUUGAUGAUCCGCA